UACGUAGGGGGCUAGCGUUGUCCGGAUUUAUUGGGCGUAAAGUGUGCGCAGGCGGCCGAGCAAGUCGAGUGUGAAAGCCCCGAGCUUAACUUGGGAACUGCGCUCGAAACUACUUGGCUAGAGUGUGGCAGAGGGAGGUGGAAUUCCACGUGUAGCGGUGAAAUGCGUAGAGAUGUGGAGGAACACCGAUGGCGAAGGCAGCCUCCUGGGCCAACACUGACGCUCAUGCACGAAAGCGUGGGGAGCAAACAGG
rnacentral:rRNA from 1 species